GAUGAAGAACGUAGCGAAAUGCGAUAAGUAAUGUGAAUUGCAGAAUUCCGUGAAUCAUCGAAUCUUUGAACGCACAUUGCGCCCUCUGGUAUUCCGGGGGGCAUGCCUGUCCGAGCGUCAUUGCGAACCCUCAAGCACGGCUUGUGUGAUGGGUCGUCGUCCCGACGCCAUGCGGAAGCGUGGCGAGGGGGACGGGCCCGAAAGGCAGUGGCGGCGUUGCGGUUCUCCGAACAGCCUGAGUGUAUGGGGCUCUGUCACACGCUCUGGGCUCCGGACCAACGCUAGUCUUUGGUUAUCCAUCUUUCUAAGGUUGACCUCGGAUCAGGUAGGGAUACCCGCUGAACUUAAGCAUAUCAAUAAGCGGAGGA
rnacentral:misc_RNA from 1 species